GUGCCUGUGGGAUGAACAGGUCCCAACAUUUGCUCCAUUUUUUUUACUCUCAGCUGUUGGCCAUAAUUGUUUAGCUGAUCAUUAAGAAUGGGAAAUGG
rfam:Zea mays cultivar B73 chromosome 4, whole genome shotgun sequence.